AUUGAACGCUGGCGGCGUGCUUAACACAUGCAAGUCGAACGGUAAGGCCCUUCGGGGUACACGAGUGGCGAACGGGUGAGUAACACGUGGGUGAUCUACCCUGCACUUCGGGAUAAGCCUGGGAAACUGGGUCUAAUACCGGAUAGGACCGCUGCCUGCAUGGGUGGUGGUGGAAAGCUUUUGCGGUGUGGGAUGGGCCCGCGGCCUAUCAGCUUGUUGGUGGGGUGAUGGCCUACCAAGGCGACGGCGGGUAACCGGCCUGAGAGGGUGACCGGCCACACUGGGACUGGGAUACGGCCCAGACUCCGACGGGAGGCAGCAGGGGGGAAUAUUGCACAAUGGGCGCAAGCCUGAUGCAGCGACGCCGCGUGAGGGAUGACGGCCUUCGGGUUGUAAACCUCUUUAAGCACCGACGAAGCGCAAGUGACGGUAGGUGCAGAAGAAGGACCGGCCAACUACGUGCCAGCAGCCGCGGUAAAAC
rnacentral:rRNA from 1 species